UACGGAGGAUCCGAGCGUUAUCCGGAUUUAUUGGGUUUAAAGGGAGCGUAGGUGGAUUGUUAGGUCAGUUGUGAAAGUUUGCGGCUCAACCGUAAAAUUGCAGUUGAAACUGGCAGUCUUGAGUACAGUAGAGGUGGGCGGAAUUCGUGGUGUAGCGGUGAAAUGCUUAGAUAUCACGAAGAGCUCCGAUUGCGAAGGCAGCUCACUGGACUGCAACUGACACUGAGGCUCGAAAGUGUGGGUAUCAAACAGG
rnacentral:rRNA from 1 species